rnacentral:rRNA from 1 species
AUUGAACGCUGGCGGCAUGCCUUACACAUGCAAGUCGAACGGUAACAGGUCUUCGGAUGCUGACGAGUGGCGAACGGGUGAGUAAUACAUCGGAACGUGCCCAGACGUGGGGGAUAACGAGGCGAAAGCUUUGCUAAUACCGCAUACGAUCUAAGGAUGAAAGCAGGGGACCGCAAGGCCUUGUGCGUUUGGAGCGGCCGAUGGCAGAUUAGGUAGUUGGUGGGAUAAAAGCUUACCAAGCCGACGAUCUGUAGCUGGUAUGAGAGGACGACCAGCCACACUGGGACUGAGACACGGCCCAGACUCCUACGGGAGGCAGCAGUGGGGAAUUUUGGACAAUGGGCGAAAGCCUGAUCCAGCAAUGCCGCGUGCAGGAUGAAGGCCUUCGGGUUGUAAACUGCUUUGUACGGAACGAAAAGGACUCUGGCUAAUACCUGGGGCACAUGACGGUACCGUAAGAAUAAGCACCGGCUAACUAACGUGCCAGCAGCCGCGGUAAU